rnacentral:piRNA from 1 species
UACAAUGGCAAAAGAAGAAAGCUUAUUG